UUUGACCUCAAAUCAGGUAGAACUACCCGCUGAACUUAAGCAUAUCAAUAAGCGGAGGA
rnacentral:rRNA from 1 species